ensembl:lncRNA
GAGUAAACACAGGAGAUGGUGUUGAUUGAUAAACACAGGAGAUGGUGUUGAUGAGUAAACACAGGAGAUGGUGUUGAUGAGUAAACACAGGAGAUGGUGUUGAUGAUGAGUAAACACAGGAGAUGGUGUUGAUGGUGAGUAAACACAGGAGAUGGUGUUGAUGGUGAGUAAACACAGGAGUUGGUGUUGAUGGUGAGUAAACACAGGAGAUGGUGUUUGAUGAUAAACACAGGAGAUGGUGUUGAUGAGUAAACACAGGAGAUGGUGUGUAGUAGGAUGGUUGAGUAAACACAGAGAUGGUGUUGAUGUUGAGUAAACACAGGAGUUGGUGUUGAUGUUGAGUAAACACAGGAGAUGGUGUUGAUGAGUAACACAGGAGAUGGUGUUGAUGGUGAGUAAACACAGGAGAUGGUGUUGAUGGUGAGUAAGCACAGGAGAUGGUGUUGAUGGUGAGUAAACACAGGAGGAAUUGAGUAGCACAUGCUGUAUCACAUGAGCCUGCUCUUGGUGUGGGGGAUUUUAUAACACUGAUGGGUUUAAAUCAACUGAAAAAAGAUGAUGAUUAGAAAAACAAACAUUGUUAUGCCCAUUAGCGCACAAGUUACAUGCAGCGUGUAAGAAUUACUUCCGCUCGUGUGAGUGGUUUGUCAUAUCAUGGUUAUCUUUUACAAUCCUUCAAUGGUUUUACAAAUAGUAAUCAUAGCUUCAAUCUCAGCUAUCUCGGUGAAUCAG